rnacentral:tRNA from 2 species
GUCUUCGUGGCUCAGUCGGUAGAGCGUUGGUCUCAUAUUACUCAAUAUGACUCUGUCUGAAGGCAGGGACAUCCAAAGGUCGAGAGUUCGAGCCUCUCCGAGGACA